CAGUCGCCGCGGUAAUACGAAGGGUGCAAGCGUUAAUCGGAAUUACUGGGCGUAAAGGGCGUGUAGGCGGCCUGGGGCGUCCCAUGUGAAAGGCCACGGCUCAACCGUGGAGGAGCGUGGGAUACGCUCAGGCUAGAGGGUGGGAGAGGGUGGUGGAAUUCCCGGAGUAGCGGUGAAAUGCGCAGAUACCGGGAGGAACGCCGAUGGCGAAGGCAGCCACCUGGUCCACUUCUGACGCUGAGGCGCGAAAGCGUGGGGAGCAAACCGGAUUAGAUACCCCAGUAGUCCCUGUCUCUUAUAC
rnacentral:rRNA from 1 species